AUAGCACUCCACAAUGAGAAAAAAAAACACGAGAGAUUUUGAGUAGAAUAUAUUAAAAAACAAAGAUUUAUUUCAUGAAAACACAGUGCUCAACACUGACCAUUAACAAUUCUCAACAAACUGUAAAAUUGGGCAUGAGAGGUUUAGAGCAGAAUGGUUUAAGAAACAUUGGGUUGGGUUCCAGAGGUUUAAACAUUGGGUAGUAGAGGUUUAUAGUAGACUAGAUUCAGAAACAUUGGAUACUAGAGGUUUAGAGCAGAAUACAUUCUGAAACAUUCAUGUGUGUACAAGAAGUUUAAAACAGGGUAGAUUAAAAAAACAGGGUGUAGAGGUUUAGAGCAGAAUAGAGUGAGAAAGACUGGAUGGUACUAGAGGUUUAGAGCAGAAUAGAUUCAGAAACACUGGAUGAUAUUACAUGUUUUCGAAUGCCAAUUCGGUACCCCUCGUCCAACUGCUCUGCAAUACUCAGUCUUCCAAAGAGGUUUAGCUUCAGGCUGUUAUUUAGAUGGCUAAGGCCAGAUUCAUGCUUUUACAUUUUUAAGUAAAGUGCUUUAGAUCCCUCAUUCCCGUUGUAAUCCGGAGUGUUUCAGACCCAGGACUUUGGAAUAACAAGACAGGGGAAACAAAAAAACGCAUUACUAACUGAAUAACCAGCUAACCAACUCUGCUUAGCAUAGCCUAGAGGUUUGACGAGAAGCUCCGGGUGCUAUCAGUGGUCUGCUGCUGAACGUUUAUAUCUGGACGUUCGGGUUCCAAGUCUUUCACUCUCUUCUUGUCAACAUCUAAUCGUCGAUUAAACGGUGUUUCACAUAAAGAAGAAUAACACAGUUUAAAUUAUAAUCAAAAUCAUAAAAACUAUACCACAUUUUUAUGAAAGAAUAAUUCAAACAUGUAAACAGUAAUAACCUGAAUUUGGGAUGUACUUAGGUUCGUCUGUUUUGUGAAGAGAAAUUAAAUUAAUGGAAAUAGUUCUUCAAAUAUAAUUACAUUCCAAAAAUGUAUUGGUAAUGAGGUAAUGAAAUGGAUCCAUUUCACUGAUGUUAAUGGGCCUGACCUGUCUUCCAGGUGAGCUGUUUGGUGGCAAGC
ensembl:lncRNA